AGCGAACGCUGGCGGCAGGCUUAACACAUGCAAGUCGAACGGGCAUAGCAAUAUGUCAGUGGCAGACGGGUGAGUAACGCGUGGGGACGUACCUUUUGGUUCGGAACAACACAGGGAAACUUGUGCUAAUACCGGAUAAGCCCUUACGGGGAAAGAUUUAUCGCCGAAAGAUCGGCCCGCGUCUGAUUAGCUAGUUGGUAGGGUAAUGGCCUACCAAGGCGACGAUCAGUAGCUGGUCUGAGAGGAUGAUCAGCCACAUUGGGACUGAGACACGGCCCAAACUCCUACGGGAGGCAGCAGUGGGGAAUAUUGGACAAUGGGCGAAAGCCUGAUCCAGCCAUGCCGCGUGAGUGAUGAAGGCCCUAGGGUUGUAAAGCUCUUUUGUGCGGGAAGAUAAUGACGGUACCGCAAGAAUAAGCCCCGGCUAACUUCGUG
rnacentral:rRNA from 1 species